GACGAACGCUGGCGGCGUGCUUAACACAUGCAAGUCGAACGGAAAGGCCCUGCUUUUGUGGGGUGCUCGAGUGGCGAACGGGUGAGUAACACGUGAGUAACCUGCCCUUGACUUUGGGAUAACCUCAGGAAACUGGGGCUAAUACCGGAUAGGAGCUCCUGCUGCAUGGUGGGGGUUGGAAAGUUUCGGCGGUUGGGGAUGGACUCGCGGCUUAUCAGCUUGUUGGUGGGGUAGUGGCUUACCAAGGCUUUGACGGGUAGCCGGCCUGAGAGGGUGACCGGCCACAUUGGGACUGAGAUACGGCCCAGACUCCUACGGGAGGCAGCAGUGGGGAAUAUUGCACAAUGGGCGGAAGCCUGAUGCAGCAACGCCGCGUGCGGGAUGACGGCCUUCGGGUUGUAAACCGCUUUCGCCUGUGACGAAGCGUGAGUGACGGUAAUGGGUAAAGAAGCACCGGCUAACUACGUGCCAGCAGCCGCGGUGAUACGUAGGGUGCGAGCGUUGUCCGGAUUUAUUGGGCGUAAAGGGCUCGUAGGUGGUUGAUCGCGUCGGAAGUGUAAUCUUGGGGCUUAACCCUGAGCGUGCUUUCGAUACGGGUUGACUUGAGGAAGGUAGGGGAGAAUGGAAUUCCUGGUGGAGCGGUGGAAUGCGCAGAUAUCAGGAGGAACACCAGUGGCGAAGGCGGUUCUCUGGGCCCUUCCUGACGCUGAGGAGCGAAAGCGUGGGGAGCGAACAGGCUUAGAUACCCUGGUAGUCCACGCUGUAAACGGUGGGUACCAGGUGUGGGGUCCAUUCCACGGGUUCCGUGCCGUAGCUAACGCUUUAAGUACCCCGCCUGGGGAGUACGGCCGCAAGGCUAAAACUCAAAGGAAUUGACGGGGCCCCGCACAAGCGGCGGAGCAUGCGGAUUAAUUCGAUGCAACGCGUAGAACCUUACCUGGGUUUGACAUGGAUCGGGAGCGCUCAGAGAUGGGUGUGCCUCUUUUGGGGUCGGUUCACAGGUGGUGCAUGGCUGUCGUCAGCUCGUGUCGUGAGAUGUUGGGUUAAGUCCCGCAACGAGCGCAACCCUUGUUCACUGUUGCCAGCACGUUAUGGUGGGGACUCAGUGGAGACCGCCGGGGUCAACUCGGAGGAAGGUGGGGAUGACGUCAAGUCAUCAUGCCCCUUAUGUCCAGGGCUUCACGCAUGCUACAAUGGCUGGUACAGAGAGUGGCGAGCCUGUGAGGGUGAGCGAAUCUCGGAAAGCCGGUCUCAGUUCGGAUUGGGGUCUGCAACUCGACCUCAUGAAGUCGGAGUCGCUAGUAAUCGCAGAUCAGCAACGCUGCGGUGAAUACGUUCCCGGG
rnacentral:rRNA from 1 species